CGUAGGCGCAAGGCGUAUCCGGAAUUGAUUGGUGCGUAAAGAGCUCGUAGGCGGCUUGUCACGUCGUUCGUGAAAACUUGGGGCUCAACCCCAAGCUUGCGGUCGAUACGGGCAGGCUAGAGUUCGGUAGGGGAGACUGGAAUUCCUGGUGUAGCGGUGAAAUGCGCAGAUAUCAGGAGGAACACCGGUGGCGAAGGCGGCAUCCUGGACCGGUAUUGACGCUGAGGCGCGAAAGCUAGGGGAGCAAACGGG
rnacentral:rRNA from 1 species